GACUGCACAGACACCACAGAGCAUGUAGACAGGCUGUGUGACGGCAAAGUUUCUGAAAGGCUAGUGUAUAGGACCAGCACGGGAGAGAUGAACAGAGGCAGCUGCUGUCAGUGUUGUGCUUUUAGUCCAAGUUGUAAAAGCAAGGAGAGCAGAGACUGGCUACUCUUUAGUUGACUGAUCUAGCUGGCAAGGAUCAUAUGGUGAUAGGGGUCUCAUCAGGGUCAGGCAGCCAGGGAAGACCAGUCUGUGAUGGAGCUGAGGACCUGAGCCCUAGGACCAUGCCUCAGGA